AGGUGUCACUGAGAGACUGGCAGGUGCUCCCAGUUGCACCUAUUAACUGACUCUGUCUACCAGGUCCUGCAAGACGGCAGGGGGACAGACAGACCCUUCUAAAGCAAGAGGACCGUCACAAGUCGUUUUGUGUCUCUAAGAGAAGGCCCUGUUAAAGCCAGAGGACAGUCACAAGUUGUUCCAAAUCUCUAAGCCCAACCCAAAACACAAGAGGAGAGCAGGAAGCCUUUUUGCUGCACCUUCCCCAUCAACGUUCAGCCUGGAGCCAGCCGUGAACGAUGGGAGAGAUUCUUGUUGCUAUGGUGAUGUGUUGUCAAGACCCUGGUGACCUCCUGAUGACCUGUAAAUAAUGGCACCACUUCCUACAGAAAGAUGACCUGGAAAUUCUUGUCUUGUUUAA